UGCAGAAUAUAUGCCCUCAAGGAUAUAUACAAGAUUGAGAAUGGAUAAAAAUUGAUUUAUCACUAUGGUUAAUCUGAUUAUUUCGGAGUAUUAUGCUUAACAUUAUGGCACAGCUAAGGUUAGUGUAAAACAGUUCCCCGUGUGACACUAGCAAGCUCUCUAGUUGUCUCAUUGGCUUUUGAUGUCAUUAAUGUCCAGAACCAUUUUUGCAUGUGUUUGCUAGCUAUAACAAAUGAAAAUGUACUGGUCAGGUGACGGGUUGUGAUGAAGCAUGAGAACAUCAACAGGGAAGAGGACUUAUGUUCGAGUUUUAUUUACUUACCUCCACAGAUGAAAUUACUGGGAUGGAGGCCAACAAGACCUGCUACCCACCCUGAGGAAGACCACAAGAUGAAGACCUGCUAAAUGACUGGGAGGAGGAGGAAUGUGACGACAAGGGUGAGAAUGCCCUGCCAUCAUCCUCAGUUUGGUAACAUGGAUUGGAUUCCACCUACUCUAGAACCUUGGAUGAGAAUCCUUCAUUUCUAUUCAUUCCUUUUACUUGGGGGUUGGGCUCUUUCUUCCGCAUAUCCCAUGUCAGUGCGGAGUCCUAAAUGUGAUCCGAUCUCUUCUUCUUCUGUGACAAGGACACAAAUGCUUCUCUGACCCGAUCUCUUCUUCUUCUGUGACAAGGACACAAAUGCUUCUCUGAUCCGAUCUCUUCUUCUUCUGUGACAAGGACACAAAUGCUUCUCUGACCCGAUCUCUUCUUCUUCUGUGACAAGGACACAAAUGCUUCUCUGAUCCGAUCUCUUCUUCUUCUGUGACAAGGACACUAAUGCUUCUCUGACCCGAUCUCUUCUUCUUCUGUGACAAGGACACAAAUGCUUCUCUGACCCGAUCUCUUCUUCUUCUGUGACAAGGACACAAAUGCUUCUCUGAUCCUAUCUCUUCUUCUUCUGCGACAAGGACACAGAAGCACCAGUUCAAUCCCAUUUCCUCUGUCGUCUCUUAGGUAUAGAUUUGAGCAGUAUGUAGGAUGGUGCCGUCUGUCACUAAAAUAGUUUUUGGGCUUUCUCUUUCAUUUUCUAAGAAAUCUGUAGUUAUCCGAGGGGUGGGAGCUUGUGCUGGAGUGGUGAAACAUAUCCACAAGAUAGGAAGAGUUCUCCAGGCGGAGGCUGAUCGCUUGCUCAGGGAUAGGAAGAGUUCUCCAGGCGGAGGCUGAUCGCUUGCUCAGGGAUAGGAAGAGUUCUCCAGGCUGAGGCUGAUCGCUUGCUCAGGGUUAGGAAGAGUUCUCCAGGCUGAGGCUGAUCGCUUGCUCAGGGAUAGGAAGAGUUCUCCAGGCUGAGGCUGAUCGUUUGCUCAGGGAUAGGAAGAGUUCUCCAGGCUGAGGCUGAUCGCUUGCUCAGGGAUAGGAAGAGUUCUCCAGGCUGAGGCUGAUCGUUUGCUCAGGGAUAGGAAGAGUUCUCCAGGCUGAGGCUGAUCGCUUUCUUAGGGAUAGGAAGAGUUCUCCAGGCGGAGGCUGAUCGUUUGCUCAGGGAUAGGAAGAGUUCUCCAGGCUGAGGCUGAUCGCUUUCUUAGGGAUAGGAAGAGUUCUCCAGGCUGAGGCUGAUCGUUUGCUCAGGGAUAGGAAGAGUUCUCCAGGCUGAGGCUGAUCGUUUGCUCAGGGUUCACUUCACUCCAUUGAUACUCUGAGGGUAUUGCAGCCAACCUUAGCAUAGAUGAACAUAUGGUAAAAUCUAACUGUUAGACGUUUUAAUAUAAGGUGGUCAUGAUGGUCUUGUCUCGGAUUUAGCCUGUAGAAUAGCUAAUCCAAUCAGAGACAGUGGUCACACUCGAUUAGUAAGGAACAAUUUGGUCUUGGACAGAAAUCGUUUCCGUCAGCCAACUGUUGCAAGUGAUUGCAAUAAAUACAUGUGGGAGUUUAUUGGUCGGACCAAAUGUAUUCCAAAAAAACAAAGAAGUGGUAGCAAACUCUUUCCUUCCACUUUGUGGACAUUGCCAUCAUCAGUUUGUAAUCAUUUCAAGACACCGCAAUGCAGGAUCUGAUGUUGAGGCAAGGUGAGGUCCAGCCAGAUACACUUCUGAGGAAAUCUUUAAUGACCGCUCGCUGGCAGGCAAUACAAUUUUUCAGGCCCUUUUUCAAACCGAUCUCUUCCCAAAUCCACACCGUCACAGAGUGUAACUCCACGUAUAGUCACACACCUAUUGAAGCGACAGGCUUUAACUCCACGUAUAGUCACACUCCUGAUGAAGGGACAGGCUUUUACAGUGUCACUCCACGUAUAGUCACACUCCUAUUGAAGCGACAGGCUUUUACAGUGUAACUCCACGUAUAGUCACACUCCUAUUCAAGGGACAGGCUUUUACAGCACAGAGUGUAACUCCACAUAUAGUCACACUCCUGUUGAAGGGACAGGCUUUUACAGCAGCAAGCUUUGGGAUGUCCUCAUGGGAAAGAGGAACUUGAUGACAGAAUCAUUUUCAUGGGCAUAAUGAACAGAACAUUUAAAACCCCAUAAAAAUAUGUUUCAGUGACCCCGGAAAAUAGGAUUUCCCCAUGUUUAGCUUUUGCUGCAAAUAUCAGUUUUAGUGAUAUUGUUGUAAAUUACUCUAAUAAAUACGGGCAGAAAAAAACAGGACAGUUAAAGUUAAGGAGUAGCACACACAUUAGAAAGCGUUUGUGCUUCCUUGUGAAGCCUUCAUCGUUGCAGGUUCAGUGUUGGAGGGCUUUAUAAAUAUAAAGAUAGCUACUUAUCGUGGUGGACCUUCCACGUGAAUGUGGAAGCACAGUUGGAGUGGUUGUAGAAGGUCCUUUGAGAAAUCCCCUCAGUCUCUGCUUUCAUUUGAUCCAACAGCUUCUCCAUUAUCUUUCCAUGUACAGUGUGUUCCUGAACUGCAGGAGCCACAGAUAAAUGGAUUGCUUUGUUAUAAAAAAAAAAAUAUAUAUAUUAAAAUGGAGAAUAAAACAAAAAUGGCUGUUACAGCCCCGGAAUGUAAGGCAGUAGACAAAAUAGUUUCCAGUCAUCUGCAGAAGGACAAGUAUUCUGUGAUCAGUCAUAGAUCCCCACCCCACUCCAUUUAUUAGUGUUUCUCCACAAGCUUGAUCUACUAUGUGAUCUACUUUUAAAUGUGACUUAACAUUUUGAAUGAUGUUAUAAGCAUCAUAUGUACAUAUUUGUCAUAUUACACUGAAUUUGUAUAAAAUGUCCUUUAUAAGUAAGUAAUAAGCUGUAUCUGUUGAAUAAAACGUAUUUUAUGUCCUUUUUCUGAAAUGGUUUUAAGUAAUAUAUAUGUAUUAUUAUUUAUUUAUUUAAGUGAACUAUUGGUAAUGUUAUGGUUUUUUUAAUCUGACAGUCACAUGCUUAAUAAAUGGUGUAUUGUUACAGACCAAAUUCA